rnacentral:rRNA from 1 species
CCUUAUCCUUUGUUGCCAGCGGUUAGGCCGGGAACUCAAAGGAGACUGCCAGUGAUAAACUGGAGGAAGGUGGGGAUGACGUCAAGUCAUCAUGGCCCUUACGACCAGGGCUACACACGUGCUACAAUGGCAUAUACAAAGAGAAGCGACCUCGCGAGAGCAAGCGGACCUCAUAAAGUAUGUCGUAGUCCGGAUUGGAGUCUGCAACUCGACUCCAUGAAGUCGGAAUCGCUAGUAAUCGUAGAUCAGAAUGCUACGGUGAAUACGUUCCCGGGCCUUGUACACACCGCCCGUCACACCAUGGGAGUGGGUUGCAAAAGAAGUAGGUAGC